UUGAGAACACUGAUUACAUUCUGAAAGUACACUGCUUAUUCCUGUGCUCAUAGUUCAAUGUCUCUAGAUUAUAGGCAUUAUGAGGACAGAGUACUGGUUUAACACAAAAUUCCUGGGACAUAGAACACUGCCCAGCACAAAUAAUGAUUUGAUCAAUAAUUGUUGAAGGAAUAGACUAAAUGAAGGAACUGACAACUCAAGGGAAAGAGUAAUGACUCCAUGAAAGAGCCAAAAAAGAAGAAAAAAAGUGUUAUGUUGCUAGGAGGGACCACAUAAUGACAAUAACUGGAAAGUAUUUAGUACUUACAAGCAUUUUGACAUAUCAUCGUAUUUGCUUAUCUCACCAGCUUGCCAGAUGAGGAGGAAAACAAAUGGUAUUCCAACUCAACGAAUGAGGAAACAAAACCUCAGAGAGGUUAAUGACUACAUAUAGAUCUAGACCUGUGUGACCUUCCCAACACCCAGGAGAGACAGACACAGUCACAUCCCCACUUACAGAUGAAGACUUCAGGACGCAGAGCGGUGGAGGGACUUGCCCGAGUCCUGGAGCUGGGAGAACUCCCGAGACCCUGGGAUGGUCUCAUGGCCCCUGCACCUCCGCUGCCUCCCCCAUGGUGAAAGUACAGCACAGGCGGGGCUGCGAGAGAGCAGCGGAGAGAUUAUGCAGUAGCUAUCUUUGGAGGCGUCGCUGCCCACGGUGUUUUUAGGAUGAAUAAUUGCUUGAAUUCCUCAAGGCUUUAUAAAUAGAUGGAGAGGUAAUUAUACACAGCAGGAC